rnacentral:rRNA from 1 species
CAUAAGCUCGCCUGACUGCGAGACUGACAAGUCGAGCAGAGACGAAAGUCGGCCAUAGUGAUCCGGUGGUCCCGAGUGGAAGGGCCAUCGCUCAACGGAUAAAAGGUACUCUAGGGAUAACAGGCUGAUUUUGCCCAAGAGUCCAUAUCGACGGCAAAGUUUGGCACCUCGAUGUCGGCUCAUCACAUCCUGGGGCUGGAGCAGGUCCCAAGGGUAUGGCUGUUCGCCAUUUAAAGU